UACGAAGGGGGCUAGCGUUGCUCGGAAUCACUGGGCGUAAAGCGCACGUAGGCGGAUUGUUAAGUCGGGGGUGAAAUCCUGGAGCUCAACUCCAGAACUGCCUUCGAUACUGGCGAUCUUGAGUCCGUGAGAGGUGAGUGGAACUCCGAGUGUAGAGGUGAAAUUCGUAGAUAUUCGGAAGAACACCAGUGGCGAAGGCGGCUCACUGGCCCGGUACUGACGCUGAGGUGCGAAAGCGUGGGGAGCAAACAGG
rnacentral:rRNA from 1 species